UUCAGUGGAAUCAGGUUUCGAACCUGGAACCCUCCAGCCCCAAAGUCGAAACCUUACCACUAGGCCACCACUGC